UACGUAGGGUGCGAGCGUUGUCCGGAAUUAUUGGGCGUAAAGGGCUCGUAGGCGGUUUGUCGCGUCGGGAGUGAAAUCCACUGGCUUAACUGGUGGCUUGCUUUCGAUACGGGCAGACUGGAGGUAUGCAGGGGAGAACGGAAUUCCUGGUGUAGCGGUGAAAUGCGCAGAUAUCAGGAGGAACACCGGUGGCGAAGGCGGGUCUCUGGGCCGAUAUCGUGCGCUGAGGAGCGAAAGCGUGGGGAGCGAACAGG
rnacentral:rRNA from 1 species